rnacentral:rRNA from 1 species
AUUGUAAACUUCUGUUAAGUGGGAAGAAAUGUUGUGACCUAAUACGUCACAAAGCUGACGGUACCACUGGAGAAAGCACCGGCUAACUUCGUGC